AGCGAACGCUGGCGGCAGGCUUAACACAUGCAAGUCGAACGGUCCUUCGGGAUAGUGGCGGACGGGUGAGUAACACGUGGGAACGUACCCUUAGGUUCGGAACAACACAGGGAAACUUGUGCUAAUACCGGAUAAGCCCUUCGGGGGAAAGAUUUAUGGCCUUUGGAGCGGCCCGCGUCUGAUUAGCUUGUUGGUGAGGGAAUGACUCACCAAGGCUACGAUCAGUAGCUGGUCUGAGAGGAUGGCCAGCCACACUGGGACUGAGACACGGCCCAGACUCCUACGGGAGGCAGCAGUGGGGAAUCUUGCGCAAUGGGCGAAAGCCUGACGCAGCCAUGCCGCGUGGAUGAUGAAGGUCUUAGGAUUGUAAAAUCCUUUCACCGGGGACGAUAAUGACGGUACCCGGAGAAGAAGCCCCGGCUAACUUCGUGCCAGCCGCCGCCGUAA
rnacentral:rRNA from 1 species